UACAGAGGUGGCAAGCGUUGUUCGGAAUUACUGGGCGUAAAGGGCUCGUAGGCGGCCAACUAAGUCGGACGUGAAAUCCCCAGGCUCAACCUGGGAACUGCGUCUGAUACUGGAUGGCUUGAAUCCGGGAGAGGGAUGCAGAAUUCCAGGUGUAGCGGUGAAAUGCGUAGAUAUCUGGAGGAAUACCGGUGGCGAAGGCGGCAUCCUGGACCGGCAUUGACGCUGAGGAGCGAAAGCCAGGGGAGCAAACGGG
rnacentral:rRNA from 1 species